rnacentral:rRNA from 1 species
UACGUAGGGUGCAAGCGUUAAUCGGAAUGACUGGGCGUAAAGGGUGCGCAGGCGGUUUGUUAAGACGGGUGUGAAAGCCCCGGGCUCAACCUGGGAAUAGCAUACGUGACUGGCAAACUAGAAUAUGGCAGAGGGAGGUGGAAUUCCAUGUGUAGCAGUGAAAUGCGUAGAGAUGUGGAGGAACACCGAUGGCGAAGGCAGCCUCCUGGGCCAAUAUUGACGCUCAGGCACGAAAGCGUGGGGAGCAAACAGG